AUAGUACUCCCUCUGUCCCAGAUUCUUGUCUUGGAUUUGUCUAGAUAUAAAUGUAUCUAGUCACGUCUUAGUAUUUAGAUAUAUCUAUUUUUAUACAAACCUAAGACAAAAUUUUUGAAACGGAUAGAGUACUAU
rfam:Hordeum vulgare subsp. vulgare, WGS project CAJW01000000 data, contig: morex_contig_1573016